UCAUUUCCCCCACGCAGGAAAAAAGAGCAAGCCUGUUACAGAGCCACCUGAAACUUCCUCUGCCCCCCUCCUUUUUUUUAAAGACUUGAAAGAACAACACAAAGUAUAUUUAUAUAUUGAAAACUCUGCCCACCAAAACGUUCUUAACCAAUUUCCUAAACGUGAGCAGGUGCACCUAUAUUCACAUAUGUUCAGGGAUGUCUGCCUUUAGAGCUAGCCAUGUGCUUAAAUCAUUCUGGGGGACAUUUUUCUCUCUCGUAGCCUCCAUCCAUUAAAAGGUGAGUAGGACAAAAAUUAUAUAAAAAUGUCAUUUUGUAUUUGUAAUCAUAGUUGCCUUUAAGAACAGAAUGAUAAACGUGGGAAAAUGGGCAGUACCUUCAUAAAAAAAAAAAAGCAAUCUGCUUACUAAGGAAAAGUUGGCAUUGCUAAUUCUAAUGAAAUUAGAUUGCUUUAGAAUAGAAAACUAAGAAGUCUUGAGUAAUUUAAACUUUCAAGUCAGUUUUCCAUGGAUCUGGUGAGACUCUGUAUAAUUAGCUUCGACCUAUUUUAAUGGCUUAUUUUUCUGACUGUUGUCUUGGAAGAGCUAUUGUGUCUGCAUAUUGUAUUCCCCGGCUUUUCACACCUACCUUUUUGUUUUGUAUUUGAGGAUGAGUGUCUGCUUCCUAAACUGCUCCCUUUUUAGCACCGUGUCUUUCUUGCCAGCAGCUCCUUUAUGGCAUCAUGGUGGUUGGAAGCAGGAAAAAUAGCCACGGACAGCAAACUCCGUACCCUGCGGACAUUUUUGGCAAUUUCAGUGAAGAGAGCUGAAUUUAAAAAUAGACUUUCGCUUUACUAGUUGACAUUACUUGAGGCUUCCCGUCGACUCCCAGUACCUCUCAAGCCUCAGACUUGGUUAUUUUCAGUUCUGUACAAAGCCUGCUAGGACAUGCUGGUGUUGCCCCUGCUAGCUGCUUGGGCUCCACUUCCUUACAUCUUAGAUCCAGGGGAUAAUGUCAAUAUUUUUAUCCUCAUAAAAUUGACUCGUUACUCCUUAACAUCCUUAAAAUAUCCUUGAACGAACGGGAUGCAAAAUCUGAUCGGGUUUGCCUUUUCUUAGAAGCACGUGGCGUUCUUCCGAGGAGCCUUUUUUUCCCUUUAGGAUUAACAACUUGGAGAGGCUAUUUCCUUGAAGGUUUCCGAAAUGCCGCACUUGGAGAAGUGACCAGAAGACUUUGGAGUAUGAGAUCUAGGUCAGCCUCAGAACAGCCAGGAUUCGCGUUCCUCUUGGCCUGAUGCUUUCAGAGCGGUGUGACAAGUGCCAGCGAAGCAGCCGCUUGCAUUUUAACCAGAGGAAACCUUUGGCUGGAACUUGGGUUAUCUUGUCACGCGGAAUAGCAUCCUGUGUGUAGUGCUGGCUGAAAAAAUGGUAGAUACCAUCAACAGAUCUGUAAAGAAUCGCGUUUCAGAACACUUGUGAAGUUCUGUGGGCACGGCUUCCGCCCAGUUAGAGUCCAUAGGAGUUGGGAGUUGGCCCCAGGAAGUCACUUGGCAGCCCAGACCUGGGCCCCAAGGGUGUCAGGGAAGCCUCGAAGGUGGGCGGGGCAUAGUGGCCUCCAGGUUCCCUUCUCCUCAUUCACCUCAUUACUAGAAGAGAAUUGGUUCUUUCUCAGAGUUGGACCUUCUCAAAAAGAAUCUUCCUCUUGCUUCUGGCUGUGCCGUGCUUCCCCGUUCUUCAGACAGCUCCAGGGUGCUGCGUGGUGUCUGUGUGCCAGCUAGCAGGAGGUGUUGGUGCGUGCGGUGGUGAGGAGUGCCGGCUCUCAGAUCCGUGCCUGGGUGUGAUCCCGGCUUGGCACUUUCUAGUCCUCUGGCCUUGGGCGAGUUGGCUCUCUGCUCUGGAAAAUGAGGGUGAUGACACCUGCAUGCAGGGAUGUUGUGAAGACCGGAGGGAAGAAUAAGGGUGCUAGCACUUGGAAUAUGUUAAGGGCUACAUUGAUACAAGAUUCUUAACUGCUAAGUCUUUUAGUAAUUCUAGAACAUUCCAUUGCCAGACUGACCCGAGAGGUGUUAAUUCAUAGUAAUCAUUCGGCGAACAUGUAUCGAAUGAAUGAGUAAAACCAUUCCUUCUCAAAGGAUAGCAGUUUACUUUUCUUCAACACUCCUGUUUACGUUUGCCUUCCCACAACCCUAUGAUGUUUCCAUUUUGCAGAUGGGGAAACCAAGGCCCAGGCUACUGAGGUGGCUGCCUGAAGCCACACACAGUAAGUAGCAGAGGGCGAGGCGGGGGACAUCCAGUGUGGCCCCUCUGCUGGGAAAUGAGACACAGAAACCACCCCUCCCUCCUCCCCCCUGCUCCCCACCCUCUUGCACACCUCCACCCCAGUUUCAAUACGUUCUCCUUACUACAGAGCCCAUGUGUGUUCUUCGCAGAAAAUCAGAAAGGAACUGGAAAUCACUGCCAGUCCUCCGAGCUCUCCUUCCCCUCCUUCACUGAGACGAGCACAGGGAAGACAGAGAGCCGCCACGUGGGCGAGGACCUUGCAAGUGCCUUCAGUGCCCUGGACACUGAAACACAAACAGAAAGCAUGGUGCAUGCAUUUGAGGAACUCACAAUGUAGUUUAAGCAAUAAAAGGCACAAUUACAAGUGAAAGAUAGGAAAUCUGUACAGAUUCCUCGGCUCAGGCAGAGAGUUCAGAUUCAUCAAGGGUCAGGCCCCAAAGCCUGCAUUUUUAGCAGGCAAGAUCCAGUCUACACUUCUAAUAACCCUGAUCUUUGAGCGAAACUUAUGUUUUACUGUGAGGAAUUUCAGAUGUGCCGAGAUGAAGCUGUUUACCCAGUGGCACGUGUUCAGCAAGGGACUGAAGGAGUAGACCGCAAGGUUGGACCCUAUGAAACUGCUACUUUGGUAGGUCAGAUACUCAAACAGCAGUUUCCUGGGGUUCAGCCUAAGGGAAUUCAGGCCUCCUGAAUGACCCCUCUGUCUCAGCAGAAGCCAUCUGAUUUUUCUUCCCUUGUAACGUUGAUUGCAAGAAGGUACACUUGUGUUCUCCUUUAACACUGGAGCAAUGAGAGGCAGGCAGAUUUUGAACACCUGCUGGCUCCAGCCCCAGGAUGGCAGGAAAGGGUGUGUUUGUACUGCAUUGUGUCCCAAAGUGCCUUAGCUCAGGAAGACCUCAUUAUUUUUGCUUUAGUUUUUAAAAAGUUUAAUCUCGAAUCUGUCAUGACCUUCCCACUUCCAGGAGGUGGCUUAGUAUCAAGACCUCUCUGUACAGCUUGUCUGCCAUGUCUGGAGGGCCCUGUCCCCGUCCCUGUGUAUGCAGGACGUGCCCCGGGAGAGGGGUAUUGAUCCCCGGUUCCUUGAAAACAGCUUAUCUUUGUCACAAAGGAAGAUAUAUCCAGGACCGUGGGCUUGGCAAGGAUUUUUAAACAGAAUCCUAAAAAAUGGUAAGUUUUACUACGUUAACAUGAAGAACUUUAGUUCAUUGAAAAACACGAUUGGGGUGAAAAGGGAAAUCACACAGUUGGAGAUACUUGUAAUACAAUAAUACAAUCAAAGACUUCUUUCCAAUAUAUCCAUGCAAAUAUACAAAAAUUACACAUCAAAUUUUUUUCAGAAAGUCAAGACCCCCAACUGAUCAGGCGCUUCCCAAAAAAAGUGACCAAAGAGAAGCAGGUUGAGACCAUGAGGGUCUGAUUUGCAAUGGGAAGAAAAUGUAAAGGAGCAGAAUGCUCUGUAUGUGCACAGUCCACGUGCCCUGAGUAUCCCGGGACAGUUUCAGAAACCCGUACGCGAACGUUCGCAGCAGCACGGUCCACGAUAGCCGGAAAGUGCAACAGCCAGUAUCCAAGAACCAACGAUGACGGACAGAUAGAACAUGGCUGUCCAUACAGCGGAGGACCACUAAUCCGUGCAAGGGAAUGCAAUGCCACACGAUGAGCCUGGAGAACACGGCAUUUAGUCCAAAUGGGCUGUCUGGAGAGAGUCGGCCUGGAAGGCACCGGGAGCAGCCACAGCCCAGAUGGCCACCCCCGAGGAGGGAGCGACUGUCCCCUGCCCGAGCGAGUUCCCUGAGACACAAGGCGGCCACUGAUCUCUUGUCCCCAGAGUGCCCUGGAGGGAAGAUGACGCUCAUUUGCUGCACGAUUGGUUUGCUCCUGGAGGAGAACCCGCUGCCGCCAGGAGAGUUCCUGAGCAUCCGGCUUCUUUGUUAGGGGCCGCAGCGGGCGAAACCACCCUCCGUCCAGCUAGGCAGAGGGCUCCUGGGGCAGUGGGCUCACUCUCAGGGCUCCCGGGACAGACGCCCCAUCCCCUGCAGACGCCCACCCUGCCAGGUAUCUGUGUGGCUGGGAGAAAGGAAGAUGGGGCUAUGGGUUGGAAAGUCCUCAGCAGUCUUUAUUUUUUGUUGUUGUUUUGUUUUGUUUUUGUUUUGAGGCAGAG